rnacentral:rRNA from 1 species
GGUUCGACUAAGCCAUGCGAGUCGAAUGUAGCAAUACAUGGCGUACUGCUCAGUAACACGUGGACAACCUACCCUCCGGACGGGUAUAAACCCGGGAAACUGGGUAUAAUCCCCGAUAGAUCUCGGUCGCUGGAAUGCUCCGAGAUCGAAAGCUCCGGCGCCAGAGGAUGGGUCUGCGGCCUAUCAGGUAGUAGUGGGUGUAGCGUACCUACUAGCCUACGACGGGUACGGGUUGUGAGAGCAAGAGCCCGGAGAUGGAUUCUGAGACACGAAUCCAGGCCCUACGGGGUGCAGCAGGCGCGAAAACUUUACAAUGCCGGCAACGGCGAUAAGGGGACCUCGAGUGCCAGGUUACAAAUCUGGCUGUCGCGAUGCCUAAAAAGCAUUGCAUAGCAAGGGCCGGGCAAGACCGGUGCCAGCCGCCGCGGUAACACCGGCGGCUCGAGUGGUAACCGUUAUUAUUGGGUCUAAAGGGUCUGUAGCCGGCCGGAUAAGUCUCUUGAGAAAUCCAGCAGCUCAACUGUUGGGCUUUCAGGAGAUACUGUUCGGCUCGAGGCCGGGAGAGGUGAGAGGUACUUCAGGGGUAGGGGUGAAAUCUUGUAAUCCUUGAAGGACCACCAGUGGCGAAGGCGUCUCACCAGAACGGACCUGACGGCAAGGGACGAAAGCUAGGGGCACGAACCGGAUUAGAUACCCGGGUAGUCCUAGCCGUAAACGAUACUCGCUAGGUGUCGGCCACGGUGCGACCGUUGUCGGUGCCGUAGGGAAGCCGUGAAGCGAGCCACCUGGGAAGUACGGCCGCAAGGCUGAAACUUAAAGGAAUUGGCGGGGGAGCACCACAACGGGUGGAGCUUGCGGUUUAAUUGGAUUCAACGCCGGAAAUCUUACCGGGACCGACAGCAAUAUGAAGGCCAGGCUGAAGACUUUGUCGGAUUAGCUGAGAGGUGGUGCAUGGCCGUCGUCAGUUCGUACUGUGAAGCAUCCUGUUAAGUCAGGCAACGAGCGAGACCCA